rnacentral:piRNA from 1 species
UGAGGUAGUGCACGAAGCCCACAGCCAAC